rnacentral:ribozyme from 1 species
ACGUGCAAGUCUGUCCGGACUUCUACAGUGUUUCGUUCUGUCCGAAGUUUUCUGCUCUCAUCUGCUCUCGCUGACCUCGACGACUACGACAUCCAAACCUUUGCUGG